AGAGUUUGAUCCUGGCUCAGAUUGAACGCUGGCGGCAUGCCUUACACAUGCAAGUCGAACGGCAGCACGGGAGCUUGCUCCUGGUGGCGAGUGGCGAACGGGUGAGUAAUACAUCGGAACGUACCCAGGAGUGGGGGAUAACGUAGCGAAAGUUACGCUAAUACCGCAUAUUCUGUGAGCAGGAAAGCGGGGGAUCGCAAGACCUCGCGCUCUUGGAGCGGCCGAUGUCGGAUUAGCUAGUUGGUGAGGUAAAAGCUCACCAAGGCGACGAUCCGUAGCAGGUCUGAGAGGAUGAUCUGCCACACUGGGACUGAGACACGGCCCAGACUCCUACGGGAGGCAGCAGUGGGGAAUUUUGGACAAUGGGGGCAACCCUGAUCCAGCCAUGCCGCGUGAGUGAAGAAGGCCUUCGGGUUGUAAAGCUCUUUCGGCGGGGAAGAAAUGGCAACGGCUAAUAUCCGUUGUUGAUGACGGUACCCGCAUAAGAAGCACCGGCUAACUACGUGCCAGCAGCCGCGGUAAUACGUAGGGUGCGAGCGUUAAUCGGAAUUACCGUCAAUUCCUUUGAGUUUAGAGUCUGAGCCAGGAUCAAACUCU
rnacentral:rRNA from 1 species